CAGUGCCUGGCCAGACCCUGAAGACUACGAGGUGUGAGGCUGUCCCUGCCGGUGGAGGCUGAGCCCAGGGCUUGCAAUCCAGACCCUUCUGGAGGCCCGGCAGGGAACGGGCCAAGCCGGGGGGCGGCAGGUGCGGGGCCGAGUGCUGGGGUCCCCCCACCCUUGUCAAGUGUCCCUAAGAGACAGGGCUGGCUCCCGGGCUAGCCACCAGUACAGAUGUCCAGGGACCUGUGCUCAGAAUGCCCCGACGUUUGGGUGUUAAUGCCCUUCUUAUAAUGAAUUUGAUUAUUAAAUUUUAGUUUUGAAUGUGUAUUUGGUAAAUGAAGUCUGACGGGACCACGGAGCAGGCCCCGGGAAGCCUCAGCCCACGGGGGGCUGUCUGUCACCAGCUCCCCAGGACAAGUUCUUUGUCCCAACUCCCCAGCCCGGGAGAAGAAAGCUGAUGUUUCCCCCAUUACCGGGUGGCAUCUUAGGCUCCUAGAAGAGACUCAAGUACAAACUCCAGGGCCCUGUGGAAGCCAGGUUUUUGGUUCCUUAAAAGCAACAGACCUUGACAAAAAGCACCUAAAAAUACCAUAAAAUCAGCAUGUAUAUAUAUCUGGAAAGAACCCUCAAGAUCAUCCCUUCCGAUCUCUUCAUUUUAAGAGGAUGCCUGAGGCCCAGAGACGGUAAGCGGUGUCCCCAGACCACAGAGCUGGGGUUCAGCCUAGACUCCUCCCACGUGACACUCUUUCUAAAACACCACAGCACCUCUUACUUGGAAAAACGUUGUUCAACACAUAGAAGGACCAAGAGCUAUAAAGCCGUACCCUAGAAUCAUGUUUCCAGACUAGAGAAUAGUACUCUGUAUCUUUAUAGUCCAUUUGGACUUCAAUAAUUAGAAAGUGAUGAUUAUUUCCCAUUGUCCUGAGCUGUAGUUUUUAAAAUGCCAGCCUGGCUUGGGAAAAACAAAUUGGUUUCUACCAUUUUGUACCCAUUUUUGUAUAACUAAAUAACGUGCUCAUGGCCUGUAAUCCUAGUCUGUUUAUCCAAAUAGACUCUCUAGUGUACAAAUUGUGUUAACAAAUAUAUACUGUUAGGAACUAUACGUAAGAAAAAGUAAUGAAAUUCUAGCCCAAAGGUAAGACUUCAUGAAUGUGUGUGUGUGUCGGGUAUUUUUCGUUUAAUUUUUAUUGUUGUUGGUUUAAUUUUUUGUGAUUUCAACUUGGUCUUUUCUUCAAUACAUGUAAAUAGUAGCCCCAACCUGGAAACACCAGAAGAAUGGAUAAACAAGCUGAAGCCUAUUCAUGGAAGAGAAUACAACUCAGUGAUAAGAAGAAAAAGGAAAAACAGAGAUGGAGCUUACAGUCAUUGUGCUGAGAAGCUUUACGUGAAAGUAUUGUCUCACUUACAUAGAUUUCUAGAAGAGAAAACACUCAUCGAUGGUGGAAAAUCAGAAAAGAAGCUCUUCUGGAGGCAGAGUAGGAACAGGAAUUGACUGGAAAGGGGCACAGAGCGAUGUCCCCAUGGCGGGAGAGGUAAAGCUCUCUAUCUUGCUCGGGGCUUAGGUUACAAGAGUGUAUGGCCAUCCCCCAAACACAGCCGGUGUACAUGGAAGAUGUGCACAUUUCAUCCUAUGCAAAUGUUAUAUCCAAAGGAAAAACUACAAACAGACGUUGAACCCUCAUUCAUAACAUGCAUGCUGAAAUAUUUAGGGGGCGGUGUACUGCUGACUGUAAUUUACUUGGCACUGCCUUGUUCAAAACAAGGAAGCUUGCUGGGUGGAUAACGGAGUUGGACAGGUGGGCAUGCAGCAAGUACGGGAAAACGUUAAUUGUAGAAUCUAGGUGGUCGGUGUCUGUUAAAAAUUCUCACUACAUUGCUGUAUGCUUGAACGUUUUCACAAUAAAAUGUUGGAGGGAAAAGCCAUGUACGAGCAGAGCAGGAGAGAGCAGGCAUCUUCAUAAUUCAGGACCCUUUGGGCAUCGGAAAGAAGCAAGGACACAGGCUGGCCCUGGGGCGUCCCGUGGACCAUGUUAUGAUAUCCAGGAAUAUCUCUAUGGCAACGACAGACAGAAAGACUGCUGGAAACAAAAGAUAAUUUCCUGUUCCAGCUUUGGGGAAGACAAAACAAACACCUGAAAAAAAGGCAAUGAGAAAAGCACAAAUGUACCCCUCACCCCGCAAGGGAUUAGCUCACGUUAUCAGCAGAGACAAGCUGUGUUAAGGGGAGAUAGUGGCCGAGCCAGCACCAGAGGCUAAUCUCUCCGGGAAUUAAAGCUUCAUUAACUUGUUUUCGGCAUUUUUCAGGAAGAAUCCACAGAUUCUGAAGUAUGACCGUUUGCAUGUUAUUUCUUCUUAUCACUUGAAAAAAUAAAUAAAUAAAUAAAAAGAACACGGUUUGCCCACACGGGCAGUGACUGGUGGAUAAUGAAGACAUAAUGCUGACUGGUAUCUGGAACUUGUCACUUAUUGGAACAGGGAGAUCACUGCCACCUGCUGAGGCAGGACUGUUCCGGGCGUCACACUGAAAGAUGGCAUCACAGGAAGGGAAGCAGAGGCCAGAGGAUUCUCAGGGCGUCUCAGAGCCACUCCCAAAGCGAAAGCAAAUUUCCUGGACGGUGUGUGAUGUUCUGGGGAGGACUGAGGACAGAUAAGGACCACAGAGAGGCAGAAACCAUGCUUCGGGCCCUCUCCCCUUCCCCAGCUCUUCCUCCGGCAAGGCCCCUCCGCCCAGGGUCCUAGCACCGUGGUCUAGUUUGUAAUUUUGGAAAACCACCCCUUUCCAACAUCCCUCCUCAAGCCUUCAGAAAUCGUCUGCACUUCCACAGUGUGCAGAGCGGAAGCAGCAUGGAAUUCAGAGUUGGGAAAACCUGGGCUCCAGUCUCUGUGUUCCCUUCUGUCUGGGUGUUAAGAGUGCAGGAAGGGAGUGUCUCUGGGGGCGCAGUGUCCCCCAGGCCCCAAGGGCAGGAUGGCUGCGAGGCUCCAGGGGCCUCGCGCUGUGAGCACUCCUGGCGUAGCCUGGUGCCCACUGAACAUUUGGGGUCUGGCAAAGGGGGUGAGGGUGCAGAAUGGAGGAGACUGAAGGCAUUUCCCGUUCAAAAGCAGGUAUCCCGGGGCCAAAACACUGCUCAUUUACCCGUCACUGGUCGAGGGCCGCUGUGUGGCCAAGCAGGCUUUGGGCUGCCGUGCGGGGAGAGGGUUAGGCUCACCCUCUGUGCUGGGUUAGGUUAGAACAACACACAGUUUUCAUCUCACAGGGUCUGUGGGUCAGGAGUCCGGACCCGGCAAAGCUGGGGCCUCUGCUCACGGCGUCCCCAGGCUGAAAUCAAGGUGUCCACAGGAGCCCCGAUCUCAUCCGUGUAUCAGGGCCCCCUCCGGGGUCACUGGUUGCCAGCAGAAUCCAGUUCCUUGCAGGGGUAGGACGAGGUCCCGUUUUCUUUCUAUUUAUUUAUUUGUUAGUUUGUUUUUAUUGAACUAUAGUUGCUUUACAAUGUGUGUUAGUUUCAAAUGUACAGCGAAGUGCUUCAGUUAUACACAUAUAUUCCUUUUCAGAUUCUUUUCCCUUUGUAGCUUAUUACAAGAUCUUGAGCAGAGUUCCCUGUGCUAUACAGUAGAUCCUUGCUGGUUAUCUAUUUUGUAUACAGUAGUGUGUGUACGUUAACACGCUUGCCCCCUUGGUAACCAUAAGUUUGUUUUCUAUGUCUGAGUCUGUUUCUGUUUUGUAAAUAAAUUCAUUUGUAUCAUUUUUUUAGGUUCCACCUAUAAGUGAUAUCAUAUGAUAUUGGUCUUUCUCUGUCUGGCUUACUUAGUAAGAUAAUCUCUAGGUCUAUUCAUGUUGCUGCAAAUGGCAUUGUUUUGUUCUUUUUUACGGCCGAGUAAUAUUCCACUGUAUAAUAUAUACGUACCACAUCUUCUUUAACCAUUCCUCUGUUGAUGAACAUUUAGGUUGUUUCCAGGUCUGGGCUGUUGUCAAUAGUGCUGCUGUGAUCAUCGGGCAUAUGAACAUUGGUGCAUGUGUCUUUUUGAAUAAUAGUUUUCUCCAGAUAUAUGCCCAGGAGUGGGGUUGCUGGAUCAUAAGGUUUUUUAAGGAAUGAGGUCCCGUUUUCUUGUUGACUGUCAGUGAGGGUCACCUUCAGCUUCUAGAGGCCCCCCUUGGGUCCUAGCCUCUGACCACCCCCAACAGGGAUGCUCAGAGAGCCAGCAGGAUGGCUCUCGCUUCAAAUCUCCCUUCAGUCAGCUACGCAGGGCACAUAAUAUGUGAUAUACAGAAGGCGACCAAAUCGUCCCAUCGCUUUGCCAGUAGGAUGUAACCUUACCCAGGAAGAGGCCAGCCAUCCUAGUCACAGCUCCCACCUGUACUCGGGGGAGGGCGUUAUAUAGCAUGUGACCACUAGGGGGCAGAAUCUCGCGGUCCAUCUUAGAAAACUUGGAAUCCGGCCUGGGAGAGACGGGCUCAGAGCAUCAGGCCGACAGGGAGGGGACACAAGGCUCUGAGGCCUCCCCAGCUUCUGAGAGGUUCCAUAGCGUGAGAAGGGCUUUGGGUUAA